GUGAUACGUUAACUUACAGUCUGAAACACCUGCUAGGACCGUUACUGUUUAUUUCUGCUGCAAGACAGUAACGGAGGUGUGAACGAGCAUGUCCAGUUCAUGAAGUGGAAAUCUAUGUGCCGAGUUCAGCAGAAUUGUCACCAAAGACCUGCUGAAAUCUUUCCUGGAAGGACUAGAUGCCAUGGUUCCAAGUCUGUUGGAGGCUUACAAAGCUGCUGUAGCAUCUGGAAGAAGAACAGAAGAACGGCUGCCCUACUCGGUCUUCCAAUAUUUAUUGCAGAGGAUUCCUCCAACGUUAUCAGGAUGUGUGAUGUAAGUCACUAUCAGGCAUGAAAAUCACUCACCUUUCGACGAAAUUCGCCGUUUUGAAUCCAAAAUAGGUCGUUUGUGUGAUUCAUGUAGAUCUGCAAUAAAAAUAUUUUUGGGGUAUGGGAGGGUCUGGGACCCGGAGUAAUCUGCGGCCGCGAGCUGU